rnacentral:rRNA from 1 species
UACGGAGGGUGCGAGCGUUGUCCGGAAUCAUUGGGCGUAAAGGGCGCGUAGGUGGCCCGGUCAGCGUGCGGUGAAAGCUCGGGGCUCAACCCCGAGUCGGCCGUGCGAACUGCUGGGCUUGAGCACUGUAGAGGCAGGCGGAAUUCCGGGUGUAGCGGUGGAAUGCGUAGAGAUCCGGAAGAACACCGGUGGCGAAGGCGGCCUGCUGGGCAGUGGCUGACACUGAGGCGCGACAGCGUGGGGAGCAA